rnacentral:rRNA from 1 species
GAUGAACGCUGGCGGCGUGCCUAAUACAUGCAAGUCGAGCGAACGGACGAGAAGCUUGCUUCUCUGAUGUUAGCGGCGGACGGGUGAGUAACACGUGGAUAACCUACCUAUAAGACUGGGAUAACUUCGGGAAACCGGAGCUAAUACCGGAUAAUAUUUUGAACCGCAUGGUUCAAAAGUGAAAGACGGUCUUGCUGUCACUUAUAGAUGGAUCCGCGCUGCAUUAGCUAGUUGGUAAGGUAACGGCUUACCAAGGCAACGAUGCAUAGCCGACCUGAGAGGGUGAUCGGCCACACUGGAACUGAGACACGGUCCAGACUCCUACGGGAGGCAGCAGUAGGGAAUCUUCCGCAAUGGGCGAAAGCCUGACGGAGCAACGCCGCGUGAGUGAUGAAGGUCUUCGGAUCGUAAAACUCUGUUAUUAGGGAAGAACAUAUGUGUAAGUAACUGUGCACAUCUUGACGGUACCUAAUCAGAAAGCCACGGCUAACUACGUGCCAGCAGCCGCGGUAAUACGUAGGUGGCAAGCGUUAUCCGGAAUUAUUGGGCGUAAAGCGCGCGUAGGCGGUUUUUUAAGUCUGAUGUGAAAGCCCACGGCUCAACCGUGGAGGGUCAUUGGAAACUGGAAAACUUGAGUGCAGAAGAGGAAAGUGGAAUUCCAUGUGUAGCGGUGAAAUGCGCAGAGAUAUGGAGGAACACCAGUGGCGAAGGCGACUUUCUGGUCUGUAACUGACGCUGAUGUGCGAAAGCGUGGGGAUCAAACAGGAUUAGAUACCCUGGUAGUCCACGCCGUAAACGAUGAGUGCUAAGUGUUAGGGGGUUUCCGCCCCUUAGUGCUGCAGCUAACGCAUUAAGCACUCCGCCUGGGGAGUACGACCGCAAGGUUGAAACUCAAAGGAAUUGACGGGGACCCGCACAAGCGGUGGAGCAUGUGGUUUAAUUCGAAGCAGCGCGAAGAACCUUACCAAAUCUUGACAUCCUUUGACAACUCUAGAGAUAGAGCCUUCCCCUUCGGGGGACAAAGUGACAGGUGGUGCAUGGUUGUCGUCAGCUCGUGUCGUGAGAUGUUGGGUUAAGUCCCGCAACGAGCGCAACCCUUAAGCUUAGUUGCCAUCAUUAAGUUGGGCACUCUAAGUUGACUGCCGGUGACAAACCGGAGGAAGGUGGGGAUGACGUCAAAUCAUCAUGCCCCUUAUGAUUUGGGCUACACACGUGCUACAAUGGACAAUACAAAGGGCAGCGAAACCGCGAGGUCAAGCAAAUCCCAUAAAGUUGUUCUCAGUUCGGAUUGUAGUCUGCAACUCGACUACAUGAAGCUGGAAUCGCUGGUAAUCGUAGAUCAGCAUGCUACGGUGAAUACGUUCCCGGGUCU